rnacentral:rRNA from 1 species
CAAUAGCGUAUAUUAAAGUUGUUGCAGUUAAAAAGCUCGUAGUUGAAUUUCUGGCGGGCGCGCCGGUCUUCCAAGUGUUGUACUGGGCGCAGUCCGCCAUCCUUGUGGAGAGGGCUCGCAUUGAGUUGCGUGUCGGAUCUGCAUCAUUUACUGUGAAAAAAUUAGAGUGUUUAAAGCAGGCUGUCGCUUGAAUACAUUAGCAUGGAAUAAUAAGAUAGGACUUCGGUCUAUUUUGUUGGUUGCGAGCCGAGGUAAUGAUUAAUAGGGAUAGUUGGGGGUAUUCAUAUUUAAUUGUCAGAGGUGAAAUUCUUGGAUUUAUGAAAGAUGAACAACUGCGAAAGCAUUUACCAAGGAUGUUUUCAUUAA